AAAAAAGGUAAGCUACUAAGAGCGAAUGGUGGAUGCCUUGACUGGUAAAGGCGAUGAAGGACGUACUAGACUGCGAUAAGCUACGGGGAGCUGUCAAGAAGCUUUGAUCCGUAGAUUUCCGAAUGGGGCAACCCAAUGUAUAGAGAUAUACAUUACCUAUAUAGGAGCGAACGAGGGGAAUUGAAACAUCUUAGUACCCUCAGGAAAAGAAAUCAAUAGAGAUUGCGUCAGUAGCGGCGAGCGAAAGCGUAAGAGGGCAAACCCAGUGCUUGCACUGGGGGUUGUAGGACUGCAAUGUGCAAGAGGUGAGUUUAGCAGAACAUUCUGGAAAGUAUAGCCAUAGAGGGUGAUAGUCCCGUAUGCGAAAAACAAACCUUAGCUAGCAGUAUCCUGAGUAGGGCGGGACACGAGAAAUCCUGUCUGAAGCUGGGUCGACCACGAUCCAACCCUAAAUACUAAUACCAGAUCGAUAGUGCACAAGUACCGUGAGGGAAAGGUGAAAAGAACUGAGGUGAUCAGAGUGAAAUAGAACCUGAAACCAUUUGCUUACAAUCAUUCAGAGCACUAUGUAGCAAUACAGUGUGAUGGACUGCCUUUUGCAUAAUGAGCCUGCGAGUUGUGGUGUCUGGCAAGGUUAAGCAAACGCGAAGCCGUAGCGAAAGCGAGUCUGAAUAGGGCGCUUAGUCAGAUGCUGCAGACCCGAAACGAAGUGAUCUAUCCAUGAGCAAGUUGAAGCUAGUGUAAGAACUAGUGGAGGACUGAACCCAUAGGCGUUGAAAAGCCCCGGGAUGACUUGUGGAUAGGGGU
rnacentral:rRNA from 1 species